rnacentral:pre_miRNA from 12 species
AAAAGACACUUGUGAUGUCUUGCUUAAAGGCCAUUCAAUCCAGACCCUGCACC